CAAAGGGAGGGGACUGGCUUCCUAGAGGGCUGUAGAGAUGAGUACCGUGAACAGGGCUGCUAAGAUUUGCAGGUCUGAGGCCCUGGAAAGAGAGGAAAGGAGUCAGAGGCAGGAGCUGAAGGUGCUGGGGUUGUGGGGAAGUGGCUCAGGGAAUUGACAGGCUGGUAGAGAAAGAAAAGCAGGGCAGUGGACCCAGGGUAGUGGGUGAGUCUGGGUCUCCUCCCCUCUUGUGGGUGAAGAAGCGGCCAGUCUAUGGACCACCAAGCCCUGUGAGCUGCAACUGUACUGCUGUGGAAGGAGACCCCUGGAAGGAGGAACCUGGAUUGUGACAUAGCUGAGGCAGUGAGAUUGGAACUGCAGUGGAUCUGCAGGCAGAGAUUGGAUGGGAGAACCACCACCAAAGGGCACACCUGCUGACCAGAGCUAAUUCCUGAAAUGGCCAGCAGGAGGCACUAGUGUGGAAGACGAAUGCUGUCAGAACUAAGUGCAUUUGGAUGAAUAUAAUAGUUUUGAAAGAUCCACACAGCUCUGUCAAUGCACCUUAAUCCUGGAGAAACUGUAUGAAUGGAUGGAAAAUAGAACAGCUUGUUUAGCCAGGAAAGCAUGACUGAGGUUAUGGAAUGAAAGACACUGUGCAGUCGGACACACUGAAAUAGAUCUGGAACCCCAGGAGGACCUUACUGGAGAGGCUGAUACAGACUGGUCAACAUGGCAAAGCCUGAAGCGCCUGCGCACGCAUACUGGCAGAUCAAAGACUAAUAUGAUCAAAUAGGGUUUCUAAUAUAUGUGAUUGUGGCUUGGUGCAGACCACGGAGCUCCUGCCAUUUGUCGACUCUUUGGGGAGACCUGUACAAAGAAGGAUCUCACUGCUGAGAUGGAGAGAGCCAUCGCUUGAGCACGGUUCUGGAAAAAACAUAUAGUUUGUGACAAGGACAUGAGAACAAGAAGCUUGUUUAGUGAGUUUAGAGAUGCAUGUAGGCCACAGAGCUAUGGGUAGCAAGGAACAACUCCCAGCAUGUGCUGUCAGAAGCUCUGUCUCUCUCUCGGGGGAUGGUCUAUGAGUGAUGGUCAGAGGGAUAUACUCAGGAGCUGACAAGUGAAGGAACAAUGUCACAUGAAUGCACUCUAUUGGAACAAGUCUUUCUCUGUUCGUUCACUGGGAUUCAUUCUUCCAGGGUGGCAUUUCAGGUAGUUCCCAUACAUCUUUGGGGAUACAGGGUGUUCUGAAAUUGUGCCUAAUUCAGUUAGCCUUUAUUUUUACUUGUCCAAACACACAGGUGUCCUGCACUGUUGUCUUUCCCCUGUUGCAAGGAGAAUAGACAGUGAGACCACACAGUUUGCUCUAGGACUGCAGAGAGAACGAUUGAAGGCUCCUGUCUUCCCAUCUUGGGACCUCUGUAAAAUUAGCUAGGUUUAAAUAAAACACCCUAUUUUACUUUGGACUGAAAUUGUGUCCCUCACCUCAUUUACAUGAAUCCCAAUGAAAUGGAAAACCAGCUUGAGGAGUUUAUUAGGAGUUAGGUGGGAUUAAAAAGAGCAGACUAUAGGGCUUGACUGAAAACUACUGACGGUUUUUAAAAGCACUAGGAUUUUUUCUCCUCCCUUUAAUUUCCUGGCUGGAACUUGGCACCAGAAGGACACUUCACACCUUCUGAUUUGGUGACAUCGGCACAUACUACACACAGCAGUCACCUUCUUUUAAAAAACAGCCACCCCCCCAUACGUCUCCUUUUCCAAUUAACCCUGUC